ACUCAACUUUGGAGAUGUUGGCAC
rnacentral:piRNA from 1 species